rnacentral:rRNA from 1 species
UACGUAGGGGGCGAGCGUUGUCCGGAAUCAUUGGGCGUAAAGAGCUCGUAGGCGGCUCAGUAAGUCGGGUGUGAAACCCUCAGGCUCAACCUGGGGACGCCACCCGAUACUGCUGUGGCUAGAGUCCAGUAGGGGAGUGUGGAAUUCCUGGUGUAGCGGUGAAAUGCGCAGAUAUCAGGAGGAACACCGGUGGCGAAGGCGGGUCUCUGGGCCGAUACUGACGCUGAGGAGCGAAAGCGUGGGGAGCGAACAGG